CGACCCAGGCCCAGGCAGUGAGGGAGCACUUGUGUCCAGAUGGCAUUCUGUCCGCUUCCUCCUCCAGCCGGUGCUCAGUGUGGCACAAACUGGGCAAGACCAUUCUCACCCAACCCUCUGCUGAGCCCUAGGUGUACCUGCUGUUGGCAAAUGUUUCCAGCUGCCUGGCAAGCUCAAGAGCAGACAGUUCUGACUUUCAGAAGGAGGGGCUGUCCAGGGAGAAGAGGAACAUGGAACAGAAAGCAUUGACGUUGAGGUGGAGAAGCCCAUUGCCAGGAGGAUAAAGCGGAAGACCCGAGCCCCUCCCAGAACAGAAUGAGC
rnacentral:lncRNA from 1 species